GGCCUCGUGGCCCAAUGGCAAGGCGUCUGACUACGAGACACAGUCUGUAAUGGACGGUUUAUGAUAAUCAGGAGAUUCUGGGUUCGACCCCCAGCGAGGUCA
rnacentral:tRNA from 1 species